rnacentral:rRNA from 1 species
UACGAGAGGCCCAAACGUUAUUCGGAUUUACUGGGCUUAAAGAGUUCGUAGGCGGUUCGGUAAGUGAGGUGUGAAAUCCCUUGGCUCAACCAAGGAAUUGCGCUUCAAACUGCCGGGCUCGAGGGAGAUAGAGGUGAGCGGAACUGAUGGUGGAGCGGUGAAAUGCGUUGAUAUCAGGAGGAACACCGGUGGCGAAGGCGGAUCUCUGGGCCUUACCUGACGCUGAGGCGCGAAAGCUAGGGGAGCAAACAGG